rnacentral:rRNA from 1 species
GAACGCUGGCGGCGUGCCUAAUACAUGCAAGUCGAGCGAACAGACGAGGAGCUUGCUCCUCUGACGUUAGCGGCGGACGGGUGAGUAACACGUGGAUAACCUACCUAUAAGACUGGGAUAACUUCGGGAAACCGGAGCUAAUACCGGAUAAUAUAUUGAACCGCAUGGUUCAAUAGUGAAAGACGGUUUUGCUGUCACUUAUAGAUGGAUCCGCGCCGCAUUAGCUAGUUGGUAAGGUAACGGCUUACCAAGGCAACGAUGCGUAGCCGACCUGAGAGGGUGAUCGGCCACACUGGAACUGAGACACGGUCCAGACUCCUACGGGAGGCAGCAGUAGGGAAUCUUCCGCAAUGGGCGAAAGCCUGACGGAGCAACGCCGCGUGAGUGAUGAAGGUCUUCGGAUCGUAAAACUCUGUUAUUAGGGAAGAACAAAUGUGUAAGUAACUAUGCACGUCUUGACGGUACCUAAUCCGAAAGCCACGGCUAACUACGUG